AGAGUUUGAUCAUGGCUCAGGAUGAAUGCUAGCGGCGUGGAUAAGGCAUGCAAGUCGAACGCAUUUAGUUGCGUGGCAAACGAGGUAGUAAUACGCAGGUACGCACCGAAGAGUCUGGGAUAUUCCGUCGAAAGACGGCGCAAUACCAGAUGGCACGGCGACGUUAAAGGGGCAACCCGCUUUUUGAGCGGCCUGCGGGACAUCAGCUAGUUGGUAGGGUAAUGGCCUACCAAGGCGACGACGUCUAGGGGAGCUGAGAGGCUGACCCCCACCGAUGGAACUGAGACACGGUCCAUACACCUACGGGUGGCUGCAGUCGAGAAUAUUUGGCAAUGGGCGAAAGCCUGACCAUGCGACGCCGCGUGGUUGACGAAGUCCUUCGGGACGUAAAAACCUUUUACGCGUGAAGAAGUAAUUGACAUUAGCGCGUGAAUAAGGGGCUCCUAACUCUGUGCCAGCAGGAGCGGUAAUACAGAGGCCCCAAGCAUUAUCCGGAAUCACUGGGCGUAAAGGGUGUGUAGGCGGCUUUGUUAGUCCUUCGUAAAAGCACUCGGGCUUAACCCGGGUAAUGCGGUGGAAACGGCAAGGCUUGAGGACGCGAGAGGUACAGGGAACUCAUGGUGUAGGGGUGAAAUCCGUUGAUAUCAUGGGGAACACCAAAUGCGAAGGCCUGUACUGGCGCGCUCCUGACGCUGAAACACGAAAGCGUGGGAAUCGAACGGGAUUAGAUACCCUAGUAGUCC
rnacentral:rRNA from 1 species